rnacentral:rRNA from 1 species
CUAAAUAACUGAACGGAGCACACACUCUUGCAGUGAUGGCCGUUCUUUCGAGUGUCUACCUUAUCGACUUCCGACGGUAAUUUAUGUGCCUACCGUGGUUGUAACGGGUAACAGACAAUCAUGGUUUGACUCCAGAGAGGGAGCCUGAGAAACGGCUACCACUUCUAAGGAAGGCAGCACGCGCGCAAAUUACCCAUUCUCAGUACAAGGAGGUACUGACAAGAAAUAGCAAGGAGGUGCCCAACGGGUGCCGUCAUUGCAAUGAGAACAAUUUAAAUCCUUUAACGAGAAUCUAUGCAAGGGCAAGUCUGGUGCCACCACCCGCGGUAAUUCCAGCUCGGCUAGCAUAUAUCAAUGUUGCUGCGGUUAAAAAG